CACGUAGGGGGCGAGCGUUGUCCGGAAUUAUUGGGCGUAAAGGGCUCGUAGGCGGUCUGUCACGUCGGGAGUGAAAACUCAGGGCUUAACCCUGAGCCUGCUUCCGAUACGGGCAGACUAGAGGUAUGCAGGGGAGAACGGAAUUCCUGGUGUAGCGGUGAAAUGCGCAGAUAUCAGGAGGAACACCGGUGGCGAAGGCGGUUCUCUGGGCAUUACCUGACGCUGAGGAGCGAAAGUGUGGGGAGCGAACAGG
rnacentral:rRNA from 1 species